GUCGCUGGUUCGAUUCCGGCUCGAAGGAC
rnacentral:piRNA from 5 species